ACGCUUGAAGUCAGUCGCGUUGGCCGGGGAUCAGCCUCGCUCUUGCGUGGUGUAUUUCCUGGUUGACGGGUCAGCAUCAAUUUUGACCGCUGGAAAAAGAUCUGGGGAAUGUGGCAUCUUCGGAUGUGUUAUAGCCCUUUUUCAUAUACGGCGGUUAGGAUUGAGGAACUCAGCACGCCGCAAAGGCCGGGUUUCGACCACGUUCGUGCUUAGGAUGCUGGCAUAAUGGCUUUAAUCGACCCGUCUUGAAACACGGACCAAGGAGUC
rnacentral:rRNA from 1 species